rnacentral:lncRNA from 1 species
CGUUCAUUCACCUAAAACAACUCUGCUAUUUUAUGGAAGAAGAAAUUGGCGUGGGAGAGAUUAAACACCUUUCCCAAGCUCAUACAACCAUGGUACAUUCUACCCCCAACAAAUCCAAAGAUAUCCACGAACAAAAGAAAUUAUUAAAACAAUAUCUGCCACUGUAUUGGCUGUGAGUACUUGAGAUCUUGCGUGGUCAUUUCCUGGAAUGAGCACAGGCCUGGGAAGGGGUUGGCGGUACCAACUGGCCUCAACAGUCUACUUUGGAAGAGGAUACACUGCCAACAGCGCCCAGUCAUGCAGGUAGGAGGCAAGAGGGGCGGUCUGGUGGGGACGAGCG